UACGGGGGGGGCAAGCGUUGUUCGGAAUCACUGGGCGUAAAGCGCACGUAGGCGGCUUUCUAAGUCAGGGGUGAAAUCCUGGAGCUCAACUCCAGAACUGCCUUUGAUACUGGAAAGCUUGAGUUCGAGAGAGGUGAGUGGAACUGCGAGUGUAGAGGUGAAAUUCGUAGAUAUUCGCAAGAACACCAGUGGCGAAGGCGGCUCACUGGCCCGGUACUGACGCUGAGGUGCGAAAGCUAGGGGAGCAAACGGG
rnacentral:rRNA from 1 species